rnacentral:other from 20 species
UUGGGUCCGGUAGUUGGCAAAUACGAGUUUCGCCCUACAAAUAGUUUAUUCGGAGCGGUCCCUGAUUACGGUGAGCAAGCUCAUAAUUCAUGUAUUGAGUUCAGUGAGAAGCCUAAAGUAAUUAACAACUGCUGCCACCUGUCAUAUGACGGGCGGAACCGAAAGAUCACCUACUGGACCCGUC